UUAGAAUUACAUGCGGAUCAAUACAUGUAGUUGAGAUCAAUGAACGAAUGAAGAAAAGUGAUCAGGAUUAACUUACGGUUGAUGGAGGUGAUAUAGAUUGCUUUGCAGGCCCUGCAGUAGGCCUCCCCAGUCUUCAGUUUCAUGUCCAUGAGCGACGAAGAAAACCCAUCAGCUUCUUCUAGUUUCAAUAUGGAUACCAAGUUCCUCCGUAAUGUUAAUUUAAACUGAACCCAAGAAUGAGGAGAGCUGCAAGACAGGUCACUUACAUGGAGCAGUCGAUGCUCUUGUCAUGGUUGCAGAAAGGGCAGGUGAAGCUCACGUCCAGCUUAGGCUGGGGCUUCUUGGGAACUAGCUUU
rnacentral:lncRNA from 1 species